GGGCGCUGAGGCAGAGAGAUGCUCCUCAACUGAGACAGAUGCAGAGACAGGAGGGAGACAAGGAGGCAGAAGGGAGAGACCGCCAAACUGGAGUGCUGAGUCUCAGCAUGAAGAGAGACCGUGAAAAGACAGAAGUAUCCUGGAGGCUCAGACAAGAAGAUGUCAAGAAUGCUUUGCUCUGGGAGCUGCAUCCUGCCUCUACAGCCAGCUGGGUCUUUGGAAAGAAAUGAUCUAGAGAGCAGAGCUCUCGCCCAGAACUGGCGAAGCCCCCCUGAGCCAGCAUCUUCCACAUCAGAGACCUUCUAGGAUUACUUCAGUCUGACAGAGAUCCUAGCCUUGGAACAAGUUCAACAUCCUUACACUGGGAUAGCUGAGCCUCAGACUUAGAAGGCAAGCAGUGGUCACCUGCACAUUGGAUCAAAUCGCAUCAUGAACAAAAGACCAUGGCAUGACUGUGAGACAGAGUUCCACUUUAUCGCCCUCAGUAGAGUGCCAUCGCAUCACAGCUUACAGCAACCUCCAACUCCUGGGCUUAGAUGAUGCUCUUGCCUCAGCUUCCCAAGCAGCUGGGACUACAGGCACUCACCACAAUGCCUGGCUAUUUUUUGUUGCAGUUUUGGCUGGGGUCAGGUUCAAACCCACCACCUGUGGUAUAUGGGGCCAGCGACCUACCCACUGAGCCACAGGUGCCACCCAGCCUUGCAAUAUUUUCUAAUAAAAACCCUGCGGGUGCUGAGGGGCUCCCUCUCUGCAGAGUGAUGGUGAGCCUCUCUCCUUGCAGCAUGUACUGAUCAUCCAUGUCCUGUGACCCAUUUCCUCAGACAAACUACAAUUUCUACAGGGAAACUGCAACACCAUUUCAUUCAGCAGCCAAAGAAACUUCAGUCUAUGCUUAAUUUUUACACCUUUAUUUUUUAUCUUUUCCAUUUUACAAAAGACAUAUGUACUUAAAUGCCAUAUGCUGACCUUGAAGGAGAAAAUAUCUGGGAUCUCCCCACACUGGGCUUGAGACUCAUUUAGCCCUAUUCUAUUGAAGGACAGAUUUGCCCUCAAUGAACAGCUCCAUAGAAAAAGAAGUUGUGAAAUCGUCGUUGGUUUUUUUUACACAUAUAUGUAUGUACAUGUGUUUAUUUGGUUUCCACUUUUUGCCUUCACAAAAUCAGAAAGGCUUAAAAUUUAGUAACAAUAAUGAUGUUUAAGAUACAGACUAGAAACAAAAACCUUGUAAAGAAUGUACAAAGAUAAAUACAUUCAGAAAAGAAAUCAGAUGAUUGCUGCAACAAAAUAUUGAGCAAUAAUAAUAAUGCAAAAAAAGUAACAUUCACAUUGUCAAAUAAGAGUAUGUCUAUUAUAGAAUGCUUUAACUCUGAGGUUCAGCAUGGAGUCAUCAGUUUACUUCUUAUUUUUUCCCCAAAGUCUCAAAAAAUAGACAACUAAUAUUUAUAAAUAAAAAUAAAAGAUAAUUUCAAAAAACAGAUCAUGUCAAAUCUUAUAGACAACAGAAAAAGAAGAAAUACUUCAAAAUCAUUCUACUUCAUCUGGAUACACCUGAUAUUAAAAUUGGAAAAAAUAUAUUAUUAUAAAGGGAAAUAACAAACAUAUUUCACUUAUAAACGAGGAUACAAUAUCUUAAACAACAUAUUAACAAGUUGAAUUAAAAAUUAAUGUUUAGGCUUGGCGCCUGUGGCUUAGGCAGCUAAGGUGCCAGCCACAUACACCUGAGCUGGCAGGUUCAAACACUGCCAGGGCCGCCAAACAACAAUGAUGGCUGCAGCCAAAAAAUAGCUGGGCGUUGUGGCGGGUGCCUGUAGUCCCAGCUACUUGGGAGGCUGAGGCAAGAGAAUCGCUUGAGCCCAGGAGUUGGAGGCUGCUGUGAGCUGUGAUGCUACAGCACUCUACCCAGGUGACAGCUUGAGGCAAUGUCUCAAAAAAAAAAAAAAUUAAUGUUUAAGUAAUGUACUUUGGUCAAAAUUAAAUCCAAUUUAUGUAAGAGUUAGUCACUAGUUUCUUUUCUUUUUUUUCCUUUCCUUUCCCUUACCCCCUCCCUCCUCUGCUCUCCUGUUCCCCUAUACCCCACCGUGUCAUUAAUUGUCCUUAUAUCAAAGCAGAAUACGUAAGAUUCAUACUUAUCCAUUCCUGUGAUGCUUCACUGAGAAUAAUGUGUUCCACCUCCAUCCAGGAUAGUACAAAUGCUGCAAAAUCUCCAUUUUUUUUUUUUUUUUUUUUUGGUAGAGACAGAGUCUCACUUUAUUCCCCUUCAUAGAGUGCCGUUCGUUGCAGCUCACAGCAACCUCCAACUCCUGGGGUUAGGUGAUUCUCUCUUGCCUCAGCCUCCCGAGUAGCUGGGACUAUAGGCACCCGCCACAAUGCCCGGCUAUUUUUUGAUGCAGUUUGGGCGAGGCCGUGUUUGAACCCACCAACCUCGGUAUAUGGGGCAGGGGCCCUACCCAUUGAGCCACAGGCGCCGCCCAAAAUCUCCCAUUUUUUUUUUUUAAUGGCCAACAGCAUUCCAUUCCUGGGUUGAAGGGCAUUUAGGCUGUUUCCACAUUGAAGCGAUUGUAAAUUGAGCUGCGAUAAACAGUCUAGUAGAAGUGUCUUUAUAAUAAAAGUUUUUUUUUUCCUUCUGGAUAGAUGCCCAGUAAUGGAAUCGCGGAAUCAAAUGGGAGGUCUAAGUUGAGUUCUUUGAGGUUUCUCCAUACUUCCUUCCAAAAAGGUUGUAUUAGUUUGCAGUCCCACCACCAGUGUAAAAGUGUUCCUUUCUCUCCACAUCCGUGCCAGCAUCUGCAGUUUUGAGAUUUUGUGAUAUGGGCCAUUCUCUCUGGGGUUAAUGAUAUCUCAGGUUUAUUAUUUCUCUAAUCAUUAUGGAUGAUGAGCAUUUUUUCAUGUGUUUGCUAGGCAUUAAUCAUCUUUGGUUUUACAAUGAUAUAUUUAAAAAGUUAAAAUCACCCAUUCAAACAAGGUACAAAAUGAUUACUAUGUUUUUGCCACCAUAACCACUGCCACUGCAGUAGUAACAAGAAAAGCUAAAGUCCCAGGACAUAAAGAUCAAGCUGGCCAAGAGAGCCGCUGGUGAAGGGAGGGAGUCUUUCCAUGGGACCAGUAUUUCCCCCAUCCCAUCAAUCUAAAAUAUGGAUGAAGGGGGCGGCGUCUGUGGCUCAGUGGGUAGGGCGCGGGCCCCAUAUACCGAGGGUAGCAGGUUCCAAUCUGGCCCUGGCCAAACUGCAACAAAAAAAAAAUAGCCAGGCAUUAUGGCGGGCGCCUAUAGUCCCAGCUACUUGGGAGGCUGAGGCAAGAGAAUCACAUGAGCCCAAGAGCUGGAGGUUGCUGUGAGCUGUGUGAUGUCAUGGCACUCUACCGAGGGCGGUAAAGUGAGACUCUGUCUCUACCAAAAUAAAUAAAUAAAUAAAUAUGGAUGAAGGCACAUAUACCGUUGUCCCUGGUUCCCUAGUGGUUGGGGAUAGGGGAGAAGUCAGUUGAUUUUUUUUUUUCAAAUAAAAUGACCACACACCUAAGCUUACAUCCUUGGGACUUCACCCAUCAGCUCUACUAAUAACACAGGCAGGCAGUGAAAGUACAUGUAGUGAGAAUAAGAUGGAGUCAGGCAGGCUAGGGCAGACAUGACACAGCUAGUUUGGUCAGUUUAGGUCCUGCCUGAACUUCAUGCCAUCUCCCAUUCUUACUGUUUUAUAAAUUUAGCUCCCAACAUAAAGAUGCUUAUCUUGAGUCGUUUAGGUGGAUUGAUUUAAGAGAUUAACUUUUAUUUAUUUAUUUAUUAUUAUUUUUUUUUGUAGAGACAAGAGUCUCACUUUAUGGCCCUCAGUAGAGUGCCAUGGCCUCCCACAGCUCACAGCAACCUCCAACUCCUGGGCUUAGGCGAUUCUCCUGCCUCAGCCUCCCGAGUAGCUGGGACUACAGGCGUCCGCCACAACGCCCGGCUAUUUUUUUGUUGCAGUUUGGCCGGGGCUGGGUUUGAACCUGCCACCCUGGUUGUAUGGGGCCAGUGCCCUGCUCACUGAGCCACAGGCGCUGCCCACUUUUAUUUAUUUAUUUUUUAUUAAAUCAUAGCUGUGUACAUUAAUGCGAUCAUGGGGCACCAUACACUGGUUUUAUAGACUAUUUGACACAUUUUCAUCACACUGGUUAAUAUAGCCUUCCUGGCAUUUUCUUAGUUAUUGUGUUAAGACAUUUA